rnacentral:rRNA from 1 species
GUCCACGCCGUAAACGAUGGAUACUAGCUGUUGGGCGCAAGUUCAGUGGUUAAGCGAAAGUGAUAAGUAUCCCACCUGGGGAGUACGGGCGCAAGCCUGAAACUCAAAGGAAUUGACGGGGCCCGCACAAGCGGUGGAGCAUGUGGUUUAAUUCGAUGAUACGCGAGGAACCUUACCAAGGCUUAAAUGGGAAUUGACCGGUUUGGAAACAGACCUUUCGCAAGACAAUUUUCAAGGUGCUGCAUGGUUGUCGU